AUUGAACGCUGGCGGCAUGCCUUACACAUGCAAGUCGAACGGUAACGGGCCUUCGGGUGCCGACGAGUGGCGAACGGGUGCGUAAUACAUCGGAACGUGCCCGAUCGUGGGGGUUAACGAGGCGAAAGCUUUGCUAAUACCCCAUACGAUCUACGGAUGACAGCAGGGGACCGCAAGGCCUUGCGCGGACGGAGCGGCCGAUGGCAGACUAGGUAGUUGGUGGGAUAAAAGCUUACCAAGCCGACGAUCUGUAGCUGGUCUGAGAGGAUGAUCAGCCACACUGGGACUGAGACACGGCCCAGACUCCUACGGGAGGCAGCAGUGGGGAAUUUUGGACAAUGGGCGCAAGCCUGAUCCAGCCAUGCCGCGUGCAGGAUGAAGGCCUUCGGGUUGUAAACUGCUUUUGUACGGAACGAAAAGCCUUCUUUUAAUACAGGAGGGUCAUGACGGUACCGUAAGAAUAAGCACCGGCUAACUACGUG
rnacentral:rRNA from 1 species